rnacentral:misc_RNA from 1 species
GAUGAAGAACGUAGCGAAAUGCGAUACUUGGUGUGAAUUGCAGAAUCCCGUGAACCAUCGAGUCUUUGAACGCAAGUUGCGCCCGAAGCCACUAGGCCGAGGGCACGCCUGCCUGGGCGUCACACGCCGUUGCCCCCCCAUCUACUCCUUCGGGAUUGCGGGGGGGCGGAUGAUGGCCUCCCGUGCGCCUAGCCGCGCGGUUGGCAUCAAUACCAAGUCCUCGGCGACGCACGCCACGACAAUCGGUGGUUGCGAAACCUCGGUUGCCCGUCGUGUGCGUUCGUCGCGCAUCGAGGGCUCGAAAAAAUGCUCGGCUCCGGCUGGGCUUUCAACGCGACCCCAGGUCAGGCGGGGUUACCCGCUGAAUUUAAGCAUAUCAAUAAGCGGAGGA